AGGGCACCACCAGGAGUGGAGCCUGCGGCUUAAUUUGACUCAACACGGGAAAACUCACCCGGCCCGGACACUGGAAGGAUUGACAGAUUGAGAGCUCUUUCUUGAUUCAGUGGGUGGUGGUGCAUGGCCGUUCUUAGUUGGUGGAGUGAUUUGUCUGGUUAAUUCCGAUAACGAACGAGACUCUAGCCUACUAAAUAGAUAGUCGGCUUACAAACGUCGACUAGACUUCUUAGAGGGACGGGCGGUGAUUCAACCGCACGAAACAAAGCAAUAACAGGUCUGUGAUGCCCUUAGAUGUCCGGGGCCGCACGCGCGCUACACUGAAGUGAUCAGCGUGCUUUUUCAGCCUACUCUGUCGAGAGGGGGAAACCCAAUGAACCUUCUUCGUGAUUGGGAUAGGGGAUUGUAAUUAUUCCCCUUGAACGAGGAAUUCCCAGUAAGCGCGAGUCAUAAGCUCGCGUUGAUUACCUCCCUGCCCUUUGUACACACCGCCCGUCGCUACUACCGAUUGAAUGUUUU
rnacentral:rRNA from 1 species